AGUUUAAUACUAAAAACAAGUACACUUUUGUCUCAAAAAGUGUUUAAAAGGGAAGUUCAGUCUUAUUCUGACGCGGUCCCGCCACUGUAAUAGAUCACCGUGAUCUAAAGCCAGGAACCUGCUUGUUUUUCCUUUAGCCC
rnacentral:ncRNA from 2 species